UACGAAGAGUGCAAGCGUUACUCGGAAUUACUAAGCGUAAAGCGUGCAUAGGUAGUUCGUUAAGUCUGAUUUGAAAGCCCUGAGCUCAACCUGGGAAUUGCAUUAGAUACUAACAAACUAGAGUGCGGUAGAAGAUAACGGAAUUCCCAGUGUAGCAGUGAAAUGCGUAGAGAUCAAAAAAAACAUCUGUGGCGAAGGCAACCAUCUGGACCAGCACUGACACUGAGGCACGAAAGCAUAAAAAACAAACAGG
rnacentral:rRNA from 1 species